AUUGUACGCUGGCGGCAGGCUUAACACAUGCAAGUCGAGCGGGGUGAUGGUGCUUGCACUAUCACUUAGCGGCGGAUGGGUGAGUAAUGCUUAGGAAUCUGCCUAUUAGUGGGGGACAACAUCUCGAAAGGGAUGCUAAUACCGCAUACGUCCUACGGGAGAAAGCAGGGGAUCACUUGUGACCUUGCGCUAAUAGAUGAGCCUAAGUCGGAUUAGCUAGUUGGGGGGGUAAAGGCCUACCAAGGCGACGAUCUGUAGCGGGUCUGAGAGGAUGAUCGGCCACACUGGGACUGAGACACGGCCCAGACUCCUACGGGAGGCAGCAGUGGGGAAUAUUGGACAAUGGGGGGAACCCUGAUCUAGCCAAGCCGCGUGUGUGAAGAAGGCCUUAUGGUUGUAAAGCACUUUAAGCGAGGAGGAGGCUCUUUUGGUUAAUACCCAAGAUGAGUGGACGUUACUCGCAGAAUAAGCACCGGCUAACUCUGUGCCAGCAGCCGCCGUAA
rnacentral:rRNA from 1 species